GGGCCCGCACAAGCGGUGGAGCAUGUGGUUUAAUUCGAUGCAACGCGAAAAAACCUUACCUACUCUUGACAUACUUGGGAGCUCUUGUAAUGAGAGUGUGCCUUUUGGAACCAAGAUACAGGUGCUGCAUGGCUGUCGUCAGCUCGUGUCGUGAGAUGUUCCGUUAAGUCGGAUAACGAGCGCAACCCUUACCCUUAUUUGCCAGCGAUUCGGUCGGGAACUAUAAGGGGACUGCCGGUGAUAAACCGGAGGAAGGUGAGGACGACGUCAAGUCAUCAUGGCCCUUACGAGUAGGCUACACACGUGCUACAAUGGGGAAUACAGACGGACGCUAAGCCGCGAGGUGGUG
rnacentral:rRNA from 1 species